UUGCUCUGCCUUUAAUGUUUGUAGCUGGUGGUGUGAUGGGGAUAUAUGAAGAGUGGAAGCCAGAAAUCCUUGGCUGCAGGAGGCAUAUCAGCUCUCGUCCUGUACUUCGUCCACACUCAACUCCCAGUGAGGCCUGUCUUUGCAUCAUCAAUUGGUCUAGGCAUAUCGGCUGCGCUACUGUCAGUGAUGGGGUCUCGCUUCAAGAAGUCCGGGAAGAUAUUCCCAGCCGGUGUUGUGUCACUCGUGUCCCUGGUCAUGGUCGGAGGCUACUUCCAUGGGAUCUUGCGUAGCUCCCAUGCUUGAUAGAAUCCGUUUCCAUCACACCAUCUGCACCACGCAUUGGGAUCACUAUCAAGUUUUAUGUUUCAUCCGCUUUAGGCACCCUUUGUUGUUUUAAAUUCCGAUGAACUCUUUCACUUUUUGGUGGAUGUUUCAAGUGUUCUUAGAGUUGCCGUUCUCAAGUUUAGUUCAUGUUCAGUGCCUCUGGGACAGAUAGCCAAUAAGCACAUGACUGUGAGUAGCUGGUAGUUGUGAAAGACGAGAAUGUAUUUCUUUUUUUGGAAUUCUGAAAGACGAACUUUUUGAAAAUCAGUUCUAGUAGGUCUCGAUCUAUUGUUCCGGUGAACCGGGCCAGUUGUUCAGACAGA